UACGAAGGGGGCUAGCGUUGCUCGGAAUCACUGGGCGUAAAGGGUGCGUAGGCGGAUAUUUAAGUCAGGGGUGAAAUCCCAGAGCUCAACUCUGGAACUGCCUUUGAUACUGGGUAUCUUGAGUAUGGAAGAGGUGAGUGGAAUUCCGAGUGUAGAGGUGAAAUUCGUAGAUAUUCGGAGGAACACCAGUGGCGAAGGCGGCUCACUGGUCCAUUACUGACGCUGAGGUGCGAAAGCGUGGGGAGCAAACAGG
rnacentral:rRNA from 1 species